UACGAAGGGUGCAAGCGUUACUCGGAAUUACUGGGCGUAAAGCGUGCGUAGGUGGUUCGUUAAGUCUGCCGUGAAAGCCCCGGGCUCAACCUGGGAAUUGCGGUGGAUACUGGCGGACUAGAGUGCGGUAGAGGGUGGUGGAAUUCCCGGUGUAGCAGUGAAAUGCGUAGAGAUCGGGAGGAACAUCUGUGGCGAAGGCGGCCACCUGGACCAGCACUGACACUGAGGCACGAAAGCGUGGGGAGCAAACAGG
rnacentral:ncRNA from 3 species